CCUCCAGACUCCUACGGGAGGCAGCAGUGAGGAAUAUUGGUCAAUGGGCGCGAGCCUGAACCAGCCAAGUCGCGUGAGGGAUGACGGCCCUACGGGUUGUAAACCUCUUUUGUCGGGGAGCAACGAGGCCACGUGUGGCCGAAGUGAGAGUACCUGAAGAAAAAGCAUCGGCUAACUCCGUGCCAGCAGCCGCGGUAAUACGGAGGAUGCGAGCGUUAUCCGGAUUUAUUGGGUUUAAAGGGUGCGUAGGCGGAAUAUCAAGUCAGCGGUAAAAAUUCGGGGCUCAACCCCGUCGUGCCGUUGAAACUGAUGUUCUUGAGUGGGCGAGAAGUAUGCGGAAUGCGUGGUGUAGCGGUGAAAUGCAUAGAUAUCACGCAGAACUCCGAUUGCGAAGGCAGCAUACCGGCGCCCAACUGACGCUGAAGCACGAAAGCGUGGGUAUCGAACAGGAUUAGAUACCCUGGUAA
rnacentral:rRNA from 1 species